CCAAGUUUCCUAUACAACAUUCUGACUAUGACUACGUAGUGCAUGCCUUGGCUUGAUCUGAUUUACGGAUCGUUCGGGUUGUAUUGCUAGGAAGUUAGCGGUUUGUGAAUGAGAUCCAUGUCCGGGGACUAUGCCCCACUGCAUGGAUCGCCUAUGAUACAGAAAUGAGCUUGAACGGCUCGGGCUGUAACACACCAUUAUGGCUUGAGCUUGACUCGUUCAUCCGCCGACUCUGACUGGAGCGGCCAUGUAGUUGUGCGCAGGUGGUAACGUUCUGCGCGUGACUUAUUGGUUGCACUAAUUGAAAUGCAAAUAUUCAGUCAGAGACCCGGUACGUUGCAAACCUUCUCCCUUCGGGUGAGUCCUCUGUGUACUUUCGAAUAUUUUAAACAACCAUGGCUAAGUUCGGUGCUGCGUCGGUAGCAAUACUGACAAUGUACUGUUCUGGCUCGGUGCGCGUUGCCUUCGGGUGACAAACGCCAACCUUA
rnacentral:misc_RNA from 1 species